AAGGAUUUAAGUUAAAAAAACUCACAACCUUCAAAGUUGUAAAUAAAGAAAGCUUUAAGCCUUA
rnacentral:tRNA from 4 species